UGUAUACAACGCAUCCAUGCAUCCAUCCAUUGCUUUCAUAGCUGAUAAGGAUACAAACUAUCACGACAUUUUAAUAGUUCAAAAUUUACACAGUUGGAACCGCAUCAUAUUUUAAUUGAUGUACAAUUGAGAGUUACUGCAAGUCUGCAAAAAUAUCGUAAAGACAGUUCAAGCAACAUGAAAGCCAUUACGGUGUUCUUGGUCUGCGCAAUUUGCCAGGUAGCAGCGAACAUUGGUCAAAACGCAGACGAAUUUAAGAAGGAGACUACCGCAGCUUGGAGGAAACUACGUUCCGAUGUUGUGAAACGUAGCCGUGGAUUUUGUCAUUGGGGCGUUUUAGUUUGGUUCAAAGCAGGUGAAACUGUUCGCUGUGAAUGUUUGAGAUGCAAAUGUCUUGAUGGUGGAAUAUGGUCAUGCGCAUACGUGUUCGAAUACUGUC